rnacentral:rRNA from 1 species
AGAGCGAACGCUGGCGGCAGGCUUAACACAUGCAAGUCGAGCGGGCGUAGCAAUACGUCAGCGGCAGACGGGUGAGUAACGCGUGGGAACGUACCUUUUGGUUCGGAACAACACAGGGAAACUUGUGCUAAUACCGGAUAAGCCCUUACGGGGAAAGAUUUAUCGCCGAAAGAUCGGCCCGCGUCUGAUUAGCUAGUUGGUGAGGUAACGGCUCACCAAGGCGACGAUCAGUAGCUGGUCUGAGAGGAUGAUCAGCCACAUUGGGACUGAGACACGGCCCAAAACUCCUACGGGAGGCAGCAGUGGGAAUAUUGGACAAUGGGCGCAAGCCUGAUCCAGCCAUGCCGCGUGAGUGAUGAAGGCCCUAGGGUUGUAAAGCUCUUUUGUGCGGGAAGAUAAAUGACGGUACCGCAAGAAUAAGCCCCGGCUAACUUCGUGCCAGCAGCCGC